rnacentral:lncRNA from 1 species
AAAUGAGUGGGGAAAAAACUGUCCAAAAGAAGCCCGCCAAAAAACUGCCCGGAACAGUGUCACGCGCGCGGCGCGUGAGCAGUCGUCGGCGGCGCAUGCGUCGGUUUCCGGCGACGAAACUCGCAAGGGUUGUGCGCCUGAUAGUGUAUGUCUCGGUGGUGUAGGAGGUGUCGAAGAAAGACCACCGUGAGAGACCACUGUUGACGAUUCCGAGGAGAGAGAGAGGGGUACUUACCUGUGGCUACCGGCGGUUCGUCGGGGAUGCCAGUGGGGUUUUUCUGCCGUCAGAGGGGGUGGUCUCCGGGGUGGAGAGGUCGCCGGGGGAGGGGGGGCGAGGG